AGUGAACGCUGGCGGUAGGCCUAACACAUGCAAGUCGAACGGCAGCACAGUAAGAGCUUGCUCUUACGGGUGGCGAGUGGCGGACGGGUGAGGAAUACAUCGGAAUCUACUUUUUCGUGGGGGAUAACGUAGGGAAACUUACGCUAAUACCGCAUACGACCUACGGGUGAAAGCAGGGGAUCUUCGGACCUUGCGCGAUUGAAUGAGCCGAUGUCGGAUUAGCUAGUUGGCGGGGUAAAGGCCCACCAAGGCGACGAUCCGUAGCUGGUCUGAGAGGAUGAUCAGCAACACUGGAACUGAGAAACGGGCCAGACUCUACGGGAGGCAGCAGUGGGGAAUAUUGGACAAUGGGCGCAAGCCUGAUCCAGCCAUACCGCGUGGGUGAAGAAGGCCUUCGGGUUGUAAAGCCCUUUUGCUGGGAAAGAAAAGCAGCAGGUUAAUACCCCGCUGUUCUGACGGUACCCAAAGAAUAAGCACCGGCUAACUUCGUG
rnacentral:rRNA from 1 species